GCUUAGGCUAUCGCUCUGAGGGGCUCCUUUCAUCCGCAUCCUCCACAUGGAGCUGCUUUAGCAGAAUUAGAAACAAAGAAAUGCACAAGAAGUCGUUUGAAAAUAAUAAAGACAAACUAAGAAACACUAGGAUUUUUUUUUCCCCCACGCAGCAAAGAGAGGUGGAAUUGUGGGCUAAAAUUGACCACGGUUGUUCUCUGAGAUUUUUAGAAAUCAGAGAUCUUCCAGAGAAAGCCAGCCCGCCCGUGGAAGCAGAGCACCGGCCAGAGCAUCCCGCUCUUCCAACCUUCCUACAAUUCCUGGCGCCGCGCGCUCUCAGGAGCAUUAGCCCCGGGCCUGUGUCUCGCGCACGAGCCGGGUCGACACACGCCCGAAAGUGGGCGGUCCCGGCGGGGGUCGGCCCGGCCCCAACCACAGAGCGGCGGUGCCUCCGGCGUCCUAGAGCGGCCGCGGGCAGCCGGCGCUGGGCCGGGGUCCUGGGGCUAGUCUCGCGGGUCCUGAGCUCCGCCGCCUGCUUCCGGUCCUGGAAGAUGCCGGCGGUCUUUCGCUCGGGGACGCUGGCCCCGAGUCCUCUCGUCAGGUGGCGACGCCCAGGCGGGGCGGCUCCCUCUGAGGAGUCGGGUUCCGCCUGUUAGGCCCCCGCGGCCUCCGCCUCGAGCCUCCUCCAGCCGCGGAGACGAGCUUGUCUGCGGCGGGCCGGCGGGCGGAGGGCGCGCCUGUGGGCGCCGCGUGGGUAACGAGGCCCCGCGCCCAGGAGGGCCGGCUCCCGGGCCGGGCGCGCUCCGUCUCGUGUCGCCUGACUUCGGGCGGCCUGUAAAUGCUUGGAGAUUGCGUGCUGUGCGGCAAUCAACACUGCAAGGCGCCUGCAAUGCUGCGAGUCCUCCAGCCCAGAGGCCAGCCAAGAGUUCCAGAACCAUUUGAGACUUCCAGGAUGGAGGCUGGCUCACCUCAUCCCACCAUCUACUUUCCUGCCUGACUGGAUGUUGUGUAUAUAUC
ensembl:lncRNA